GGCCGACGUGCACCGAGGACAGGAAGAUGUCACCCAAGCGCAUAGCUAAAAGAAGGUCCCCCCUAGCAGAUGCCAUCCCCAAAAGCAAGAAGGUGAAGGAUGCGAGGGCCGCUGCCUCCCGCCACGUUCCUGGUGCCCGCUCCUGCCAAGUCUCACACAGGUCCCACAGCACAGAACCCGGCUUGGUGCUGACACUAGGCCAGGGCGAUGUGGGCCAGCUGGGGCUGGGUGAGAAUGUGAUGGAGAGGAAGAAGCCAGCCCUGGUAUCCAUUCCAGAGGAUGUUGUGCAGGCUGAGGCUGGGGGCAUGCACACCGUGUGUCUAAGCAAAAGUGGCCGGGUCUAUUCCUUUGGCUGCAAUGAUGAGGGUGCCCUGGGAAGGGACACAUCAGUGAAGGGCUCGGAGAUGAUCCCUGGGAAAGUGGAGCUGCAAGAGAAGGUGGUACAGGUGUCAGCAGGAGACAGUCACACAGCAGCCCUCACGGAGGAUGGCCAUGUCUUCCUCUGGGGCUCCUUCCAGGACAAUAACGGUGUGAUUGGGCUGUUGGAGCCCAUGAAUAAGAGCAUGGUGCCUGUGCAGGUGCAGCUGGACGUGCCUGUGGUAAAGGUGGCCUCAGGAAACGACCACUUGGUGAUGCUGACAGCUGAUGGUGACCUCUACACUUUGGGCUGCGGGGAACAGGGCCAGCUAGGCUGUGUGCCUGAGUUAUUUGCCAACCGUGGUGGCCGGCAAAGUCUUGAAUGACUCCUGGUCUCCAAGUGUGUGAUGCUGAAAUCCAGGGGAAGCCGGGGCCACGUGAGAUUCCAGGAUGCCUUUUGUGGUGCCUACUUCACCUUUGCCAUCUCCCACGAGGGCCACGUGUACGGCUUUGGCCUCUCCAACUACCAUCAGCUUGGAACUCCGGACACAGAAUCUUGCUUCAUACUCCAGAACCUAACAUCCUUCAAGAAUUCCACCAAGUCCUGGGUGGGCUUCUCUGGUGGCCAGCACCAUACAGUCUGCAUGGAUUCAGAAGGAAGAGCAUACAGCCUGGGCCAGGCUGAGUAUGGGCGGCUGGGCCUUGGGGAGGGUGCUGAGGAGAAGAGCAUACCCACCCUCAUCUCCAGGCUGCCUGCUGUCUCCUCAGUGGCUUGUGGGGCCUCUGUGGGGUAUGCUGUGACCAAGGAUGGUUGUGUUUUCGCCUGGGGCAUGGGCACCCACUACCAGCUGGGCACAGGGCAGGAUGAGGACGCCUGGAGCCCUGUGGAAAUGAGGGGCAAACAACUGGAGAACCAUGUGGUCUUAUCUGUGUCCAGCGGGGGCCACCAUACAGUCUUAUUAGUCAAGGACAAGGAACAGAGCUGAUGAAGCCUCUGAGGGCCUGGCUUCUGUCCCACUCAACCUCCCUCACAGAACAGGGAAGCAGUGACAGCUGCAGAUGGCAGCGGGCCUCUCCCCAGCCCUGAGCACUAUGUCAGCUCCUGCCUUUUCCCAUCAGCAGAACAGCAUCCUUUUCCUAUUUUUCUUCCUCCUCUUUGGAAUUCUCCUGGGACCUACAGAAUAAAGGAGGGGAUGGACAGGGGAUUUUCAGAAGGAACAUGGCUCGUUCCAGAGCUAUAUGGUUAGACGUUUCUCCCCUUUUCCCUACCUUCCAUGGUCCUGGUUGGCCUGGGCUUUACCUACUAGAAAACCAAAACCUCCCCCUUGGGGUUUGGUGCCCACUCUCUGAGAAGUUGGGUUCCAUCAAGCCCCAGUCUAGUCAUGUGCCCCUUUCCUGUCUCUAACAGUCUACAGGCAAACCAAUGGUACAGUCAUAAGACCCGUCUGUCAUGGACCCACGCCCAGAGAAACGUGCAGAAAAAGCAGAGCUGCAUGGCUGUGGGCAACUCUAAGCCAAAUAUUUGGCUCAGAACAGGUGUCCAUGGGACAAAAAAGAAUGAUCCUCCACUUGACCAAGAGAAAAAUGAUUCUCCCAGAAGCACAAAGCGUACUCUUGCCCCUCAGGCAUUGCCUUUGUCCAUCGCACCCACCCAUUCAUCUUUACCUGCAGCCAAGGGCCUGGAAUCGCAAAGAGAAGCCACGCUGGGCUGGGCAGAGCAGGGCAGGGUAUGGGGUGGGGAGAGAGGGUGGAGGGUUUUAUAAACAAACUUAACAGCAAUAAUAAAAGGGGAGGGAUUGAAGGAGGGACAGAGUGUUGGAGGGCCAGAGACUAGUCCUGAGAUGGAAACAGCAACUUGUACAGUGGCUGAGAAAAUAGGAUAUAGUUUUAAUUUUUUUAAAUUGUAAAAUAUUUUGGAGGGAGAACAAAAUCUUUUAACAUUUUGAAUAAAUUUAGAGUUUUAUUAAA